rnacentral:rRNA from 1 species
UACGUAGGAGGCGAGCGUUGUCCGGAAUUAUUGGGCGUAAAGCGCGCGCAGGCGGUCCUUUAAGUCUGAUGUGAAAGCCCACGGCUCAACCGUGGAGGGUCAUUGGAAACUGGGGGACUUGAGUACAGAAGAGAAGAGUGGAAUUCCACGUGUAGCGGUGAAAUGCGUAGAGAUGUGGAGGAACACCAGUGGCGAAGGCGACUCUUUGGUCUGUAACUGACGCUGAGGCGCGAAAGCGUGGGGAGCAAACAGG